rnacentral:rRNA from 1 species
GAUGAACGCUGGCGGCGUGCCUAAUACAUGCAAGUCGAGCGAAUGGAUUAAGAGCUUGCUCUUAUGAAGUUAGCGGCGGACGGGUGAGUAACACGUGGGUAACCUGCCCAUAAGACUGGGAUAACUCCGGGAAACCGGGGCUAAUACCGGAUAACAUUUUGAACCGCAUGGUUCGAAGUUGAAAGGCGGCUUCGGCUGUCACUUAUGGAUGGACCCGCGUCGCAUUAGCUAGUUGGUGAGGUAACGGCUCACCAAGGCAACGAUGCGUAGCCGACCUGAGAGGGUGAUCGGCCACACUGGGACUGGGACACGGCCCAGACUCCUACGGGAGGCAGCAGUAGGGAAUCUUCCGCAAUGGACGAAAGUCUGACGGAGCAACGCCGCGUGAGUGAUGAAGGCUUUCGGGUCGUAAAACUCUGUUGUUAGGGAAGAACAAGUGCUAGUUGAAUAAGCUGACACCUUGACGGUACCUAACCAGAAAGCCACGGCUAACUACGUGCCAGCCGCCGCAGUAA